rnacentral:rRNA from 1 species
UGGAGAAGUCGUAACAAGGUAACCGUAAGUCGUAACAAGGUAACCGUAAGUCGUAACAAGGUAGCCGUAAGUCGUAACAAGAUAGCCGUAGAGUUUGAUCAUGGCUCAGGAAAGUCGUAACAAGGUAGCCGUAAGUCGUAACAGGGUAACCGCAGAGUUUGAUCAUGGCUCAGUCUUUGACUAAAAAAAAUGGAGAAGUCGUAACAAGGUAACCGUAAG